UACAGGGGGGGGCAAGCGUUGUUCGGAAUUACUGGGCGUAAAGGGCCAGUAGGCGGCCAACUAAGUCCGACGUGAAAUCCCAAGGCUUAACCUUGGAACUGCGUCGGAUACUGGAUGGCUUGAAUUCGGGAGAGGGAUGCAGAAUUCCAGGUGUAGCGGUGAAAUGCGUAGAUAUCUGGAGGAAUACCGGUGGCGAAGGCGGCAUCCUGGACCGGCAUUGACGCUGAUGAGCGAAAGCUAGGGGAGCAAACGGGG
rnacentral:rRNA from 1 species